AAAAAAACAAAAAAAAAUUUUAUUUGACAAAAGACAAAAAAGUUAUUUACAGUAGUUUUUGCUCAAAUAAUUCAAUGGGACAACUGUGCUUCUCCUCCAGGUUUAUCUUACAACCAAACCCAAGCAGAGUCUGCCCUACCCAACACCCCAUUUUACAUAAUGGGGAAAUGCCAACCAGAAUUCAGCAGCAUGGCUCCCUCACCACCCUCCAUUGCUCAGUGCACUGUGGGGAGGGAAAAUCCCACCUCAGCCCAAUACACUUCCAGAGUUCCCUACUACAGGCAUCCUGCAGCAGUUGCACCAGACCUGGGCUCACUGACAGGGCUGGGAUGGAAGAGGCUGAGGCAAAUAAUUGCUUGAACCCGGGAGGCGGAGGUUACAGUGAGCUGAGAUCGCACCACUGCACUCCAGCCCGGGUGACAGAGCAUGACUCUGUCUCAAAAAAACAAACAAACAAACAAAAAACAAAAAACAAAACAGCAAAAGAAAAAAUGGGGGAAAGGGAGGAGCAUAAGACCAAUCGUUAUCUGUUCACUGGGCAGGGGCUUCUGUAAUUCUAAUUUAAAGAAAGGUGAAACAAAGACAAUCCCAGCUAGGAGGCUUCUAACCCUUUUCCAGCCCCACCUUCUCUGAAGGCAGUUCCUCCGCAGCAGUGGACACCAUUCCUGCUUUCCCCAAAGUUUCCUGCCACCAUUGUGGGAAAAGCUGCCUCUCUGGAGGACUUCCUGACCAGCAGAUGGCUCACUUUUCUCCCAAGUAGGAGGUGCUGGGAGCUUCUGACAUAUGGGCCCCUCUAAUCCAAGUUGCUAAAAGAAUUCAAAACUGAGGCUGCAGGGCAAAAGUGUUCAAGAACAAAGGGAAAAACACUAAAGAAAAAAAAGAAAAAAAAAAUCCAUCGCUUCAGUCUAGUUUACUUCCCCCACCCACCCAAAAAAACUACAAUAAAAAUUAAAAGAAAAACCAAACACCUUUUGAUCUUAUCUUUCUCUGCUAGGUGCCUAGAAAGUUGAGUCAGAGUCUGCUGGACUGCCCCCUGCUGUGGCUUUCUACCCUUCUGUGCCUGCGGCAGACAAGCCAAUGCGCUCAUACGGUUGUUUUUUUUUUUUUUCCCUGCCUUUUUUUUGGUAAACCAAACCAAUGAUAAAACAACCAUUUGGAAUUUCACACUACUGCAGAGACUUAGCUGGUCCCCAAGAUAAAAAUAUUCCUUUCUUCCAAAACAAUCCUCAGUGGCAGUGGUGGGUCCUUCCCAGCUCACCAGAACGCUAUCAUGCAGUGCACUCUCGUUCCCCACACCUGGGCUAACUACUGCCGUGAAUGCAAACCACAGCAAAAAAGGGAAAAAGAAAACAGUUUAGCAAAAAUCUAAACAUUCAACUGGAGUCGGUUCUGUUACAUCCACUGGGUUCCUCUUUUCUUUUGUUCACGCAUAUGAACUUGGAAUGUCCACACCUGGCUUGACAGAAACAGCACAGGGGCAGCUUGGACCCAACAUAGGACUGAAUUUGGCAGCUUUCCUGAGCCCAGCCCAGGAAACCAGGCUGGAACAAAGGUGUCCCAGGGAUUUUCUGGAGAAGCAGCAGAAGCAGCAGCACCAUGCUUGUCUCCGAUCUCUUGGUCUCAUCACUGAGCGGAGGCCUGGAGAAACGGCAGAGUCAGCAGAGGAGAGGGCCCCCAUCACAGUGCAGUGGUGCCAGCUGGCAUCUUCCUGUUGAAGACCUCUGGACAGAGGAGAUGAUCCCAAUGUUUGGCAGUGAUCCAUAGAAAACCCUCUGUAUGAAAGGGAACCAAAACGGAAACCCAGGACAGCUGGCUGGAGCCUUCAGCACCCUUCUUGGCAGAUGCCUACUGGGGAUUUUCAGAGACUAAAGGGAUGGGAGUGUGCAGUAAUGGGAGUGAUGGGUCCUGCUGCUUCUGAAGCUCCAUCUCAGCAGCCCUCUGUAGCGCCACCUCCACCAGCAGCUGGAAGCUGCUGAAGUCCUCUUUGUCCUGCUCUGGGGGUGUGGGUGGUGGCGUGUUGAAGAGUCCACCUGUGGGGCUUCCAGCCUCAGCCCUGGUCAGCAGAGUAAGUGUGCUACCAGGGGUCACCAGGGGCUUGGGAGACUCCAGCUCCCCACGUGGGAAAGGGGCUGCUGGCUUUUCCCCCUGGCCUGAGUGAAGCGGCAUGGAGCACACAGACAGGGAGAGCACAUUGGUGGGGGCUGGGACAGACACAGCCAGCACUGAG
rnacentral:lncRNA from 1 species